GCUGGUGUGGCUCAAUGGCAGAGCAGCUGAUUUGUAAUCAGCAGGUUGAUGGUUCGACUCCGUUCACCAGCU
rfam:Firmicutes bacterium CAG:272 genomic scaffold, scf120